CGGGGUGUAGCGCAGCCCGGUAGCGCACCUGAAUGGGGUUCAGGUGGUCGGCCGUUCAAAUCGGCCCACCCCGACCA
rnacentral:tRNA from 1 species